CAUUGGCUACCCUAGCUUUCGUCUCUCAGUGUCAGUGUUGGCCCAGCAGAGUGCUUUCGCCGUUGGUGUUCUUCCCGAUAUCUACGCAUUUCACCGCUACACCGGGAAUUCCCUCUACCCCUACCACACUCCAGCCUCAUAGUUUCCACUGCCUAGUUACAGUUAAGCUGUACUCUUUCACAGCGGACUUACAAAGCCACCUACAGACGCUUUACGCCCAAUGAUUCCGGAUAACGCUUGCAUCCUCCGUAUUACCGCGGCUGCUGGCACGGAGUUAGCCGAUGCUUAUUCCUCAGAUACCGUCACUUCUUCUUCUCUGAGAAAAGGAGUUUACAACCCACGGGCCGUCUUCCUCCACGCGGCAUUGCUCCGUCAGGCUUUCG
rnacentral:rRNA from 1 species